UACGGAGGUCCCAAGCGUUGUUCGGAUUCAUUGGGCGUAAAGGGUGCGUAGGUGGCGCCGUAAGUCGGGUGUGAAAUUUCGGAGCUUAACUCCGAAACUGCAUUCGAUACUGCUGUGCUUGAGGACUGGAGAGGAGACUGGAAUUCAUGGUGUAGCAGUGAAAUGCGUAGAGAUCAUGAGGAAGACCAGUGGCGAAGGCGGGUCUCUGGACAGUUCCUGACACUGAGGCACGAAGGCCAGGGGAGCAAACAGG
rnacentral:rRNA from 1 species